rnacentral:rRNA from 1 species
CAGUAGCCGCGGGAAUACGUAGGGUGCGAGCGUUAAUCGGAAUUACUGGGCGUAAAGCGUGCGCAGGCGGUUAUAUAAGACAGAUGUGAAAUCCCCGGGCUCAACCUGGGACCUGCAUCUGUGACUGUAUAGCUAGAGUACGGUAGAGGGGGAUGGAAUUCCGCGUGUAGCAGUGAAAUCCGUAGAUAUGCGGAGGAACACCGAUGGCGAAGGCAAUCCCCUGGACCUGUACUGACGCUCAUGCACGAAAGCGUGGGGAGCAAACAGGAUUAGAUACCCCCGUAGUCCCUGUCUCUUAUAA